GAGGAGUUAGUUUAAAUAAAACAUUAGUUAGUCAAACUAAAUUUACCUGCUAAAAGUACACCUUA
rnacentral:tRNA from 1 species